GAUGAACGCUGGCGGCGUGCUUAACACAUGCAAGUCGAACGGAAAGGCUCCUGCUUGCAGGGGUACUCGAGUGGCGAACGGGUGAGUAACACGUGGGUGAUCUGCCCUGCACUUCGGGAUAAGCCUGGGAAACUGGGUCUAAUACCGGAUAGGACGAUGGCUUGGAUGCCAUUGUGGAAAGUUUUUUCGGUGGUGGUUGAGCGUGCGGCCUAUCAGCUUGUUGGUGGGGGAAUGGCCGACCAAGGCGUCGACGGGUAGCCGGCCUGGGAGGGUGUACGGCCACAUUGGGACUGAGAUACGGCCCAGACUCCUACGGGAGGCAGCAGUGGGGAAUAUUGCACAAUGGGCGCAAGCCUGAUGCAGCGACGCCGCGUGGGGGAUGACGGCCUUCGGGUUGUAAACUCCUUUCGCUAGGGACGAAGCGCAAGUGACGGUACCUGGAGAAGAAGCACCGGCUAACUACGUG
rnacentral:rRNA from 1 species